CUAGAUGGGCCGAAUGGUUCUUAUCUGCCGUCACAUUCUAUGUUUCUAUUUCCAUAAAAAAAAGAAAUCAGAAUACGAUUCAAAUUAUUAUUUUAUUUGAAAAGCUUAUCUAAAAAUAUGACAUUGAGGUCUAAAUCAGACACACUCACCAGGGUUCAGGAUUGUGAUUUAAAAUUGGAAAUGAAUACUUAACAUUACAUGGAUAUAAAAUUCUUAAAAGUGCAAUUCUCCAACUCAGAUAUACUUCCAGUACAGCUAUUUUCGUGUAAAAUAUAAAACUCGGAGAAUUCUCUUUAGUGAAUAAUCGGGUCCAUUUUAUCAUACCAGAGAAUACAUUGCAAGAAAGCUCUGCUUAGUAAAUAUCAGCUUCAUACCUGAUAUGAAUUUACAGGGUAGUAGAUACCAGGAAUAGCUCUCCAGCAGAGACAGUAAGUAAGUAGAAGAAUGAUUGACAUGUGAUUAACACUUUGUUGAAUUGAUCUGAGAUUCGAUAAUAAAUAUAUCACAUGGCCACAGUCUGGGUUUCUAUAGAACAUUAAACCAUAGCCUCUUACUAGCCCAAAGCACCUGUUUCUGAUUCUUGCUGCAUACAAACCUCACAUACAGUGUCCACCUGUCCAGGUAUGAUUGCAGGAGACAUUAACAGACUAUAAUAUCAUCUACUAGGGCAGCGAGACUGUAAAACAUCUCAACAAAUAACUUCAGAGCAACCAGAAUGAUCUCUGUGCUUGGAGCAUGUGCCAUGUGGCUCAGUUAUUAUGGCGCUCAAUAUAUUCACUUUAUUAAACACCUGUGGAGAAGCAGCGCGUGGCAGCGUGGUACAUACACUGUACUGAUCACUGUCAAUGACACUGCAGCCAGCAAUGACGUAUGUUGUUCAUCAAUAUUAACAGGAUUUCUCAAUUCGUCAUAUACAUACACUGUACUGAACGCUCCCAAUGACAGUAUAAACAUGGAGCACUGCUUCUCAUACUAUAUCUGGGGAAAGCAAGGUCUCACAACUGGGUCCAAUCAAAGGCAAAUGGACUUUCUAAAUGCUCCCAGGGCCAUCACAUGGCGUUCUGCUUUAUGCCCAUCAAUGCCUUCUUCACGACAUGUGACACUAAUAUAGUACCUGGAAUUGUCACUACAAUCUAACACCCAGAGGAUGUGGCUGAUGGUGGGACUAACAUGAGGCUCGCCCAAGGUCUGGUUUGGUGGAGGCCCUCGGUUAUUAAGCUGGUGGUUUAUCUGCUACAAGGAAGGCCGCAGCUUCUUUCACUGAUGGUUUCAUGUUCUCCACACUGACAAUGUGCAUUGCCAAGUGUAACCUCUUACAGAAUAGAAUACGUUUCAGAAACCACUAUCUAGAGAUCUCAGCCAGGUUUCCUGAAG